UUCGUAGGUGGUGCGGCAAGUUGGGAGUGAAAUCUCUGGGCUUAACUCAGAGGCUGCUUUCAAACUGCCGUGCUCGAGUGCGAGAGAGGCCAGUGGAAUUGCAGGUGUAGCGGUGAAAUGCGUAGAUAUCUGCAGGAACACCCGUGGCGAAGGCGGCUGGCUGGAUCGCAACUGACACUGAGGAACGAAAGCUAGGGGAGCAAACAGGAUUAGAUACCCUGGUAGUCCUAGCCCUAAACCAUCAGAACUUGGGGUGGCUCGCGUAGGCGGGUCGUCCCGUAGCUAACGCGUUAAGUUCUGCGCCUGGGGAGUACGGUCGCAAGACUGAA
rnacentral:rRNA from 1 species